GAUGAACGCUGGCGGCGUGCUUAACACAUGCAAGUCGAACGGAAAGGCUCCUGCCUGCCGGGGUACUCGAGUGGCGAACGGGUGAGUAACACGUGGGUGAUCUGCCCUGUACUUCGGGAUAAGCUUGGGAAACUGGGUCUAAUACCGGAUAUGACAAUCUCUUGGAUGGGGUUGUGGAAAGCUUUUGCGGUAUGGGAUGAGCUCGCGGCCUAUCAGCUUGUUGGUGGGGUAAUGGCCUACCAAGGCGUCGACGGGUAGCCGGCCUGAGAGGGUGUACGGCCACAUUGGGCCUGAGAUACGGCCCAGACUCCUACGGGAGGCAGCAGUGGGGAAUAUUGCACAAUGGGCGCAAGCCUGAUGCAGCGACGCCGCGUGGGGGAUGACGGCCUUCGGGUUGUAAACUCCUUUCGCAACCGACGAAGCUUUUGUGACGGUAGGUUGAGAAGAAGCACCGGCUAACUACGUG
rnacentral:rRNA from 1 species